rnacentral:lncRNA from 1 species
GUUUUUGGGUUGAAAUGAUCCAUAAGAAAGGUGUUAAAGAUGUCUCUUUUUCUGGGAGGCAACUAGCAAAUGGAGAAUGUGUUACUACGUUACCCCAAGAAAGGAACAAAACUGCACUAAAACACAACACAAAGAAAGUAAAUUUUAAUCAGUUGAACCACAAGAUAAUCGAUGCAAGACUAAACAAAGUUUAAACGGUAAGCAUAAAAAAAACAUGCACCUGGGAUGCUGUAAGAGAGAAAAAGGAGAGGAGGAAGACGAUAAAGAUAUCAGAAACAAAAAUGGAAUACCGCAAGAGAGAAAAAGAAGAGAUGCUGCAAGUGAGAAAAAGAAGAGGUGCCGCCAGAGAAAAAGGAGAAGAAGAAGACGAUAUCAAAAAUUGAAUGUCGAGAAGAGUUUGUGGUUUAUUUAAAAUGAAAUUGGGCGUCGGUUGCUCCAGAAAUCGACGUCUAUAGUCAUCUAGACGUCAGUUAUCUCACUAAUAUGAUGUCCAAGUUAACAUUUAAACUGACUUUUUGAAUACCCAUUAGACGUCGGUUUCAAGGGGAGCCGACAUCUAGGAAGAUGAACCGAUUGACGUUUGAUUUCCUGUCAGGGAUGUUCAUGACAGUUGUGAUGGGGCGCCGACGUCUAUAAUAACGUAGACGUCGGUGCCCCUCUAGCCGACGUCUAGGGCCCUCGAGUUUGGUGAACAUAAUUAAUUAUUGGCACAUAGACGUUGCUUCCCCUCAACACCGACGUCUAAAUUGAAGAAUUUUUUAUCUUCC